AUGGAGUUCUUAGUCCUCUGUCUCAUUGCCUUCUCUAUGCUUAAACAUGUGGCUCUCUCUGAAAUUCAGCUGACUCAGUCGGGUGGAGGAGUGAUGAAGCCUGGAGUGUCCCUGCGGCUGACCUGUAGUGUCUCUGGUCAAACCAUCACAUCGGAUGCUCGGGAUUGGAACUGGAUCCGCCAAGCCCCCAACAAGGGACUGGAAUGGAUAGGAAGGGGAUACUAUAGUAGUGGGACCUGGUACACCAACUAUGCCUCAGCCUUCCAGAGCAGGGUCUCCAUCUCGCUUGAUUCUUCCAAGAACGAAUUCGAUCUCCAGUUGAGCUCCCUGACAGCUGCCGACACGGCCACAUAUUACUGUGCCAUGAGACCCAGUGGCACACAGCAAUUUGACAUCUGUACAAAAAGGGGAAGAGGGAGUUUGAUCAACAGGCCCUAA